UACGGGGGGGGCAAGCGUUGUUCGGAAUUACUGGGCGUAAAGGGCUCGUAGGCGGCCAACUAAGUCCGACGUGAAAUCCCAAGGCUUAACCUUGGAACUGCGUCGGAUACUGGAUGGCUUGAAUUCGGGAGAGGGAUGCAGAAUUCCAGGUGUAGCGGUGAAAUGCUUAGAUAUGACAUAGAACACCAAUUGCGAAGGCAGCUUACUACACGUAGUUAUUGACGCUGAGGCACGAAAAGCGUGGGGGAUCAAACAGG
rnacentral:rRNA from 1 species